AACUACUGCUCUCGUUUUGCCCGAUCUUGCAUCUGAUGCUUUGGUGUAUAGAUACGCUGCUGUUGCACUGAGAACAGCCCCUUAAAAUGGCCGUGGUGGGAGCAAUGUCUGCCCUGAUAACGACCCUGUGGUGGCCACCAUUGUAGCGCCACCAGCCAUUUGAUGAUGCCCAUCGUCGCCCUCAGAGACAAGCUGUCGUUGCUCAUGGCUCCUCAGCAUCGUUUGCUCUGUCACCUGCAAUCCGCUGCGCCGCUGCCGUGUUACGUUGAUGUUCGCCAGUCAAGAUCUGCUGUUGCGCCAGACCCGAACUCAUCGUAGUCGCCAGCGGCAGUGCAGUCGACGGAGACUCCCCAGCUUGGAGCUGUUGGUGGUGGUCGGUGACGGGAGGAUCGAGGAGUGUGGUGCCGGCUGCAGGUUCGCAGUGGCGGUGGCAUCAUUCCCUUUUCUCAGACGGUAAUUGCCUGGAAACUUAAGAAGGGAGCCCUACAGGUAGGAUUCGGGUUGGGGUUAGUGUUUCUUCCAUUUGCUACAGAAAUACUGGAUUUGAUCAUCCGAUACCUUAUCCUUCAGGAUGAAGAAAGCCUCUCCUUCUCCUCCUCCUCCUCCUCAAAUAGAUUGUCUAAGAAGAUCAAAAGCAUGGAUUGCUCAGGAAGCAAGAAACUUCUCCUCCUCCUCAAAUAGGAUGCAAGAAGCCUCUCCUCCUACUCAUACUCCUCUAUAGCUUUGCAAUGAAAUCUAUCUGACAAGUGAAAAGCUACUCUUCUCCUUCCUCUCUUGGAUCAUACAAUAACAUAUAAACACUGCAAAUAAUUCUUGAAGGCAUCAGAUUUUUUCAGAUCACCUCACUUCACUGUCUUUGGAUCCUCGACUGCUGCUCAACCCGCUUUGCCUGGAUGCUGAGUUCCUCCUCCUCCUCCUCCUCCUCCUCCUCUCUCUCUCUCGCUCUCUCUCUCUCUCUUUGAGGAGAGGGUGGUUUGGGAUCCCAAGACAAGCAGGAGACCAACCACAUGAUGAAAAGGAAACUAAAAGACUUGCAAUGCAUGUGACUCAUUGGAGUGUGGGCUCCGCCGUCGGGUUCUUGCUACGGGUACCACCUCAUCGGUCAUGUAUUCGGGUACGUGUCGCUGAAUUCUUCUUAGUUUAACAUCGUAAGAGGGAUCCAAAACCCUUCUUUUUUGUGUUUGUGAUUUCGUGAGAGAUCUUCGAGCCUUCGCCGCUAGCCGUCAGCAGAUGCUCCGCCGAUUGCACAGGGUGGGGCCGCGCAGCUUCACUGGGACGUGAUCCACCCCGUGACGAGAUGUCGCGGUGAAGGAGCAUUCCACCCAUUCGAAUCGUUCGUCUUUCCGAUGCAGUGGACAAUGAAGAGGACUACGGAGACCACCUCACUUGUGGCAGGUAUUCUUUGCAAAUCCUUACCUUACGAAUGGCAAGGUUAAUAAGCAAGGGAAGCUACAUUCAGAUUUACAGAUUUUCAGACGCAAGAAUCCCCACGAGUUCCUGUAACUGAGGCCGGAUGACCCUCCUUUGAUAAGAAGGCAGCUGCUACUGUAUGAUUGGAGUAUGAUGAUAUUUGGAUCAGUCUAGGUUGUCACCCAAAGGUGCAUGAAUGAAAAAUGAAGGCUCUCUUGUGAAGUUGCUACUAUCAAGUGAAUGAUUGAUUAAGGAACUCAUUUAGGGUCGAACUGAAGAUUGUGAUUGCUGAUGUUCCUAAUACAAUGGAAGGGUUUUGAUCACCUUGCUGAAGUCCAAGAUAGUAUUGGAAGCAUUAACAAGGACCAAGUGUUGAAGGCUCAUGAAAGUGAAAUUAUUAAAGAAAAUGAGAGGUUCUUUGCCUUAAUUACUGAUAAUAUAGAAGGAGGUAUCUUCUGAAAUGUAAUCAUCUCAUUUCUCAGUACCAUGUGGCUACAAGCAGAAGGUGGAGUGAACAAAGUGGACAUAUCAGCCAAUGUAGUGCUUUCCUUUGGUUGAAUAGCAUACUUCUGGGGAUAAUUAUAGAGAAUCUGGAGUUCAGCAAUUACUAAAGAUGACACAUAGGUUUAAACUUCACCGUCUGAUCAGAGAUGAUGUACAACAACAGCUUUAUGCGAACCCCAUGCAACCAUGUCUUGUGUGGUGAAAUUAGAAAGUACCAGAAGUAGCAUUGAUUCUGCAGAACUUCUGCACUGGCUAGCGGAUGAAAUAAUCCACUAUUGGUACCGCUCAUAGAGACAGGCCUUCAGAGUUUUUACCAGAUGGUGAAUGAAAUAAUCCUGUAAAUAUUAUGUAAAGCAUACUGUUGUUGGGGAUCUUGAUGACAUCUGCUAGACAUUGGAUGCUACCUAAGUUCUUGCAGUUAUAAUUAUCAUGAAUUAAUGGGUUCCCAAGAUAUUUUAGUUGCUGAAGUUCCAUGGUUAGUUGGAAUUUGACAUUUUAUAUCAUCAACUGCUGUAUCAUUUGACCUGAAACUACCAUAAGCUGGCUAAGCUAGUAAAUUGACUGCAUAAAGUUACAUGCUGAGGGUGGCAAUGCAAGUGUCAGUAGCAUUGUGGUAAUAUUGAACUUUUGCUGUCUUUUCUCAUUCCUCUAAAGAAAUGUACAUGGGCAAAAAAUUCUCAUUUUUCCCUUUCAAUUGUUCACCUUGAGUGAUGUGAACUAGAAUCUUUGUUGCAAAACUGUGACAGAACAAAUGAGGUGGCCUUCAACCUUGCAAAGGAGAAUGCAAUGGUGGGAAUGGUAUGUCUUUAAUUCAUCAGUAUCAAUAGACUACCCCACAGUGAGCUGCAUGUAGGCUCAUUCCUGGCAACCUUCCAAAACACUAUUCAGAUGCAUCUAAAGUGGAUACUGGAUGCUUUUGUAAGGUAGCCACUGAGUUUGUUCCCAAUGUGUAUUGUGUUAGCUUCAAUUUGUUCAACAUACUGAGAGAAAAACUCAGAAGUGUGAGGCCAACAUAUAAUCAUAGCAAAUAUUCUCAUCUUAUUAUGGUUUUCACUGUUCUAUUCUUCAAGUUCCCAUGGAAUUUUGACUAGAACAGCAAUGUACUUGGAGCAAUUCACAUGGGCCAUGUAGUUUAUAUUUGAUACUUGAUUCCAUAAUCUUCUUUUAACUUCUCUAUUGCCAGAGUGCCAGAGAAGUGAAAAUAGCUUUAAAAUUUCAAAGAUAUGUGGAUAUGGAAUGAUAUAGUCAAACAUGUCAUAAACUCAAUAAAUCUAAUAAGAACAGCAGCAAAUUCCAUGCUCAGGUACUAAUUCAGAUGAUAAAAUUCAGGUAAAGUCCAUAAGCUUCACUGGUUCAUGAUCUCUUCAGAUUGUCUUCUCAUCUCCUGCAUAACCUACCAGAGAACCUCAUCAGAUAGCAAGAACAAGAAGAUGUCAUACUUGAACUCACCAUGCUGUUCAAUCUGUAAGAGAAAAACCUUAUCACUGGGGAAGUGAUACUCUACUUGAUGAUCAAACAGUGCCAAAACAGAUCACAAAAUUUAGCAAGGAAAAUUAAGGAAGAGGAGGAAGAUAUAAGGGGAGAGCAUCAAGACUCCUCUGUCAGCACAACUUGCACCUUCUUUUUCCCUAUAGAACACAGUUACCAUUCAGCAAAAUUUUUGUUCCCUCUAUACAUCGAUCUCCACUUGUCGGUCUCUUCAUCGAGUACAUAAAAGCCUCACUUUAAUCUACAUCAUUUCCAGCUAUAGCUCUCUGAUUUGCCAUCAUCCUCCAAGCUAUCUCCCGCAGUCACUGACAAUGCAAGUGCAGAGCCAGCUAACUGAAGCGGGCUUUGCGGAGAAUUGGAUUGUGAAACACUCUGCUGUGACGAGCAAGUGUGUUGAUCUUGUGGAAUAGCUGAAGCAUUAGACAUUCUUCGAGUGUGCAACCGGUAUUUCUGAAACAGCAGGGCCAGAACAUUGAGCAAACCGUGAAAACUGAGAUCAACAAGCAAGCGAUAUACCUGCAGAUGGCUUUUCACUUCAUCGUUUGUGAGCCCAUCCACCUUCAUCCGGUCUCGUAUCUGCUUGGGGGUGGCCACUGCAUCAACGAGUACAAGAGUCAAAUCCAAGAAAUGACAAACAUCGUCUUCUCACCUUGAACACCGCCGAGCUGUUGGAUGGCGCGCAUGAACCGACGAUGUAGCUCCUGCGACCAGCAUCUCCUCGCCUUUCUUGGUGGCUGCUGCUGCAGCGACUGCAAGCUAACGUGGGCACCAACUGUCGCCGGAGUCAUCUCCGGCGCAUUGCCAACAGCUCUAGAGGCGCAGCCACUGACAUGGUGGUUUCUGAUCGCAGGCGACUGCAGUGAUAGGUCAGGCAACGCGGCGGCAGGCUUCUCUUCCUCCCUCUUGCAGCUGUCAGCAAACGGUGGCAGACCUCUAAAUGGCACGAAUGCGCCCCCGCCAUUCCGGCUCUUGCGUUCCGAGAAGAAGUUCUCCUUCCCCUGCCUCGGAUGAGAGUCUCCAUCUUUCUGCGACGACGAUCCAUUUUAGCCGAUCUCACAAUGGUAUACACAAAGAUCCAAUAUUUACCGUAAAGAUUCUCCUUUCUACCUCUUUAAAUUUUAUCUUGUCGUGCUUUUUGGAAUCAUUGUUGUUCUGGCUACAAUUAUCGUUCCAGAGUUUGGCGGAGCUCAUCCAGUUCCUUUUA